rnacentral:rRNA from 1 species
GACGAACGCUGGCGGCGUGCUUAACACAUGCAAGUCGAACGGAAAGGCCCUGCUUUUGUGGGGUGCUCGAGUGGCGAACGGGUGAGUAACACGUGAGUAACCUGCCCUUGACUUUGGGAUAACUUCAGGAAACUGGGGCUAAUACCGGAUAGGAGCUCCUGCUGCAUGGUGGGGGUUGGAAAGUUUCGGCGGUUGGGGAUGGACUCGCGGCUUAUCAGCUUGUUGGUGGGGUAGUGGCUUACCAAGGCUUUGACGGGUAGCCGGCCUGAGAGGGUGACCGGCCACAUUGGGACUGAGAUACGGGCCAGACUCCUACGGGAGGCAGCAGUGGGGAAUAUUGCACAAUGGGCGGAAGCCUGAUGCAGCAAUGCCGCGUGCGGGAUGACGGCCUUCGGGUUGUAAACCGCUUUCGCCUGUGACGAAGCGUGAGUGACGGUAAUGGGUAAAGAAGCACCGGCUAACUACGUG